rnacentral:rRNA from 1 species
UACGGAGGGUGCAAGCGUUUAUCCGGAUUCACUGGGUUUAAAGGGCGCGUAGGCGGCUUUGCAAGUGACGGGUGAAAUCCCUCGGCUUUAACCGAGGAACUGCCUGUCAAACUGCAUGGCUUGAGACCGGGGAGAGGUGAGUGGAAUUCCCAGUGUAGCGGUGAAAUGCGUAGAUAUUGGGGAGGAACACCAGUGGCGAAGGCGGCUCACUGGACCGGUACUGACGCUGAUGCGCGAAAGCGUGGGGGAGCAAACAGG